UUAAAGAGAAAGACAAACAAAUCUCUUCAAAAAUACCUGCAAAAUCAAUCGAAGCGAUUCUCUCUCUUUUCUCUCUUCUUCUAAACACUCCUCCCCCCUGUCUCUCUCUCUCUCUCUCUCUCUCUAAAACACUCCUCCCUCUUUCUCUCUGAUUCUGUUUGACAAGCUUGUUGCAUAGAUCUGCAUCGUUCUUAUUAUUUUUGUUUAUUGAAUUGAUUUCCCUAAGAUCGUGAGGAUGAUGCGACUCUACUGAAUUAAGAUAAACACCAAAUAUUUGCCAAAUUAGCGCUUCUACUGAAUUGUUAUCGUUUUACUUCAUUGGAUGAUUGUUUUUGUUUUAUUGGUGCUCUACUGAUUUCAGUUUCCAAAUUGAUGUUGCUCAAAAUAUUUUCUAUCUGUCGUACAGGCCUCCUUUGUACUCAAAUGCCUUCUUUUCUUCUCGGAUGACUCAAGUAAAGUUGCACCAAACAUGCCGCAAAAUUUUGAGGACAAGUGCAAAUUGUAAUAGAAAGAUGACAGUCAGAACACCUGGAACUCCAGCUUCUAAGAUCUGUCGACGCCAGCAACAACUCUUGGUAUAGCAUGUUGAUGAUCACACAUUGUAUUUAAGCCACCAACUCGGGAACGCACAGCUCGAUCGAUUUGGUAACUAAUUGUUUUCCCUUUUAUUCCUUUCUGGUUGUUUGAAUAUAGCACUUCUAUAUUUUUCUGUUUGGUAACUAAACAGAAAAAAUACUUGCAAGAAGUGUGGCCAAUGGUGAAAUCUGCUCUGAAAGAGUACCACUUUUAUUAAUCUUGUACCUUCUUUUAUAUGGUGGUUUUAUUUUUUUUUUCAAAAAUUGUGUUACUUGAUGUGACAAUUAAUAGGCAAUCAAAAUCCUGCAUAAUGAGAUGCAAUGCGACAUUAUCAAGAUUGGCAAAUUGGUCCGCAAGAAGAUAUUCAUUUACUGCUUCAAGUAUAUUUUCCUUAUUUAAGUGAUCAAUUCUAUUAUCAUAUUCUUUUAAGUCUUCUAUAAUUUUCAAGCGUCUGUACUUGUUUAGUUAUAGUGAACUUUUUUUUCCUUCAAUCAUUCUUUAGAAACAAGCCUGAAAUGUAUAUCUUUAUUAUCUGCUGUUUGCAAAUAACUUGAAAGUUAAGUCUUCAAGAGCGAGUGGCAUAAGAUAUUUCUAGAAUUGCUCGCAGGAGAGAUUUGUUAAAAGAAGGCAGCAUCUUGUGGGUCCAAAUUCUUCCACUUCGAAGAUUUGUGCAAUUUCUUAGUUUUAUGUAUUUUUUUCCCAACCCCAGCUAUUCCAAUCCCCUCUCCAACCUGGAAAUGGAACCCUCAGAGGAGGGAGCAUAUGGAACCUUCACUGGCUUAUCUUUAACCAUUUAUUGGAUGCAGGCACUUCAGAUUUUGACAAGCUGCUAUACAUGUAAAUUGACAAUCCUUGUAAUUUUGAUACUCAAGCUAAAUCAAUCAUGUUUGGAUUUUUAUUUAUAUCAUCCUUGAAAUUGAAGUCAGAAAGAUUGUGGAAGAUUGCAUCCAGAAUAAACUGCAUCAAGUAUACCAUAUCAAGAUUCUCGUGAUGAAGAAUAGCUUGAAAAGGAUCCGACACUUCAAAACGAGAACUGGGAUAGGUUCCUUCCAAAGAUUAAGAAGAAAAAUGUGAAACAGAAUAAGGUUAAGAGAAAAAAGAAAAGAACAACCUAAACAACAACCUACUAAGGACCGGAGUUGGUCCGAAUCAUUCAUUUCAUAGAAGAUUCCUUUUUGCCCAGCGAGCAGCUGAAGACAACUUUCAGAAAGAAGAGGAAUUAUGCGAACCCAAAGUGGGAGCACGUGGAGAUUUUGUAUUGGCGAGUAUGUAUUCUUAAGGCGUCUCUUAUGCAAAAAGUGAUGCGGUUUGGUAAAAAAGGCGAGUUAGCCCCUUAUUGCAUGGAACCCUUAGAAUUAUCGGUAGGAUUGGUGAGGUGGCAUGCAAAUGCUUUGGCCGAAAGCUCCCCACCAUCAAAAAUUCCUGAGCCGAGCUUCCCCCGUUGGCAGCAGUGUGCAGCCUUGCUGGAGUCGAGACUUUUCGGCCUCGAUCCGGUGCUUCCGGCGAGCUUUCGGCCAAAGCAUUUGCAUUUUUGGACCCCCUGCAAUUCAAGCUUCACGUGGACGCUUCCAGAUUUAAAAUUCGACACCGUUGGCAGUACCGGCUUUUGAAUCCCGGUGUUUUCUGGACACGCAGGAUUUCAGAUUUUUAGCACAGUAUAAUUUUAUUUGGACCUUAAUAAUUUUAGAGAAUAUUGUUGCUAUUAAUUAUCAAUUAUAGAUAAUUUAAUUUAAUUAGAUUUAAUUAAUUAUGACUUAGAUAUAAAUAUUAUAAAUUAAUUAGUAGGAUUAGACUCUAUUUUGUGGUAGAUGUAGUAGUGAAAUAAAUAUUAUGUCGGACUGUCUGUAAUUAAUUGUGAUCUAUGGUGUUACGGAUUCGAAGAAAAAUAAUGCAGUUUUGGUGGCCUGACUCUUGUUAAUUAAUUGCAAAAUAUUCGAAAUGUUUCUAGCAGGUUCGGGACCCGUUAUACGGGGGUAAACGUCCAUAUUUUAGAGUAGAUUUUGCCGAAUUUUUAGUAGAAUUUUCGAGUCUGAAUCUUCUUAGGCAGUCUAAUCUAAGAGUAGGCCUAAGAGAAAAAUUCAGAAUACCUUAUUAACUUAGUAUUUAAUAAACAAGUCAUUGACUUAAUAUCUACACCUAAUAAAUAAAUAACAAAAUCAGACUUUUUUUCUCUUUCUUUUAGAUUUUUUUCAUAAUCAUUAUAUUAUGUUGUACAAUAUUAUUUUUCUCUAUAUAUUUAAUAAACUAGAUCCGUAAAUUAUUUUUUUCUAUUGAUUGUUCAAUUGAAAAUAAUUAUCUUUUAAUAUCUUGUUCUGAAUGAAUCUUGAGAUCUAUGUAUAGUUGAUUUUUCAGAUUUAUAUAGCAGAAUAUUUUGUCGAAAAAAUGAAAGGAGGAUCAGUUCAUGUUAUAUUGAGAUGAAGUUUUUAGAAAAUAGAGCUUUUACAUUGAUUCUACUGUUACAUGAUGAAGAUUGAGCUUUUACAUUGAUUUU